rnacentral:rRNA from 1 species
GACGAACGCUGGCGGCGUGCUUAACACAUGCAAGUCGAGCGGUAAGGCCUUUCGGGGUACACGAGCGGCGAACGGGUGAGUAACACGUGGGUGACCUGCCCUCCACUUCGGGAUAAGCCUGGGAAACCGGGUCUAAUACCGGAUAGGACCACAUGAUGCAUGUCGUGUGGUGGAAAGUUGUGUCGGUGGGGGAUGGGCCCGCGGUCUAUCAGCUGGUUGGUGGGGUGAUGGCCUACCAAGGCGACGACGGAUAGCCGGCCUGAGAGGGUGAUCGGCCACACUGGGACUGAGACACGGCCCAGACUCCUACGGGAGGCAGCAGUGGGGAAUCUUGCGCAAUGGGCGGAAGCCUGACGCAGCAACGCCGCGUGGGGAUGAC